UUUUUAUUCGGCCCAUAGGGGGGAAACUCACCAGGUCCAGACAAUAUAAGGAUUGACAGAUUGAUAGCUCUUUCUUGAUUUAUUGGGUGGUGGAGCAUGGCCGUUCUUAGUUGGUGGAGUGAUUUGUCUGGUUAAUUCCGAUAACGAACGAGACCUUAACCUGCUAAAUAGCCCGUUCGGCUUUUGCUUUACUCUGGCUUAUUAGAGGGACUAUUAGCAUCUAGCUAAUGGAAGUUUGAGGCAAUAACAGGUCUGUGAUGCCCUUAGAUGUUCUGGGCCGCUCGCGCGAUACACUGACUGAACCAACGAGUUUAUCACCUUGGCCAAC
rnacentral:rRNA from 1 species